rnacentral:rRNA from 1 species
GACGAACGCUGGCGGCGUGCCUAAUACAUACAAGUGGAACGCACAGUUUAUACCGUAGCUUGCUACACCAUAGACUGUGAGUUGCGAACGGGUGAGUAACGCGUAGGUAACCUGCCUGGUAGCGGGGGAUAACUAUUGGAAACGAUAGCUAAUACCGCAUAAUAUUAAUUAUUGCAUGAUAAUUAAUUGAAAGGUGCAAUUGCACCACUACCAGAUGGACCUGCGUUGUAUUAGCUAGUAGGUGAGGUAACGGCUCACCUAGGCGACGAUACAUAGCCGACCUGAGAGGGUGAUCGGCCACACUGGGACUGAGACACGGCCCAGACUCCUACGGGAGGCAGCAGUAGGGAAUCUUCGGCAAUGGACGAAAGUCUGACCGAGCAACGCCGCGUGAGUGAAGAAGGUUUUCGGAUCGUAAAGCUCUGUUGUAAGAGAAGAACGGGUGUGAGAGUGGAAAGUUCACACUGUGACGGUAUCUUACCAGAAAGGGACGGCUAACUACGUG